UCGAGCGGCAGCACGGGGAGCUUGCUCCCUGGUGGCGAGCGGCGGACGGGUGAGUAAUGCAUAGGAAUCUGCCCGGUAGUGGGGGAUAACGUGGGGAAACCCACGCUAAUACCGCAUACGUCCUACGGGAGAAAGCGGAGGAUCUUCGGACUUCGCGCUAUCGGAUGAGCCUAUGUCGGAUUAGCUAGUUGGUAAGGUAACGGCUUACCAAGGCAACGAUCCGUAGCUGGUCUGAGAGGAUGAUCAGCCACACUGGGACUGAGACACGGCCCAGACUCCUACGGGAGGCAGCAGUGGGGAAUAUUGGACAAUGGGCGAAAGCCUGAUCCAGCCAUGCCGCGUGUGUGAAGAAGGCUUUCGGGUUGUAAAGCACUUUCAGCGAGGAAGAAAGCCUCUGGGUUAAUACCCCAGAGGAAGGACAUCACUCGCAGAAGAAGCACCGGCUAACUCCGUGCCAGCAGCCGCGGUAAUACGGAGGGUGCGAGCGUUAAUCGGAAUUACUGGGCGUAAAGCGCGCGUAGGUGGCUUGGCACGCCGGUUGUGAAAGCCCCGGGCUCAACCUGGGAACUGCAUCCGGAACGGCCAGGCUAGAGUGCAGGAGAGGAAGGUAGAAUUCCCGGUGUAGCGGUGAAAUGCGUAGAGAUCGGGGAGGAAUACCAGUGGCGAAGGCGGCCUUCUGGCCUGACACUGACACUGAGGUGCGAAAGCGUGGGUAGCAAACAGGAUUAGAUACCCUGGUAGUCCACGCCGUAAACGAUGUCGACUAGCCGUUGGGACCUUUAAGGACUUAGUGGCGCAGUUAACGCGAUAAGUCGACCGCCUGGGGAGUACGGCCGCAAGGUUAAAACUCAAAUGAAUUGACGGGGGCCCGCACAAGCGGUGGAGCAUGUGGUUUAAUUCGAUGC
rnacentral:rRNA from 1 species